rnacentral:rRNA from 1 species
GACGAACGCUGGCGGCGUGCUUAACACAUGCAAGUCGAACGGAAAGGCCCUGCUUUUGUGGGGUGCUCGAGUGGCGAACGGGUGAGUAACACGUGAGUAACCUGCCCUUGACUUUGGGAUAACUUCAGGAAACUGGGGCUAAUACCGGAUAGGAGCUCCUGCUGCAUGGUGGGGGUUGGAAAGUUUCGGCGGUUGGGGAUGGACUCGCGGCUUAUCAGCUUGUUGGUGGGGUAGUGGCUUACCAAGGCUUUGACGGGUAGCCGGCCUGAGAGGGUGACCGGCCACAUUGGGACUGAGAUACGGCCCAGACUCCUACGGGAGGCAGCAGUGGGGAAUAUUGCACAAUGGGCGGAAGCCUGAUGCAGCAACGCCGCGUGCGGGAUGACGGCCUUCGGGUUGUAAACCGCUUUCGCCUGUGACGAAGCGUGAGUGACGGUAAUGGGUAAAGAAGCACCGGCUAACUACGUGCCAGCAGCCGCGGUGAUACGUAGGGGGCGAGCGUUGUCCGGAUUUAUUGGGCGUAAAGGGCUCGUAGGUGGUUGAUCGCGUCGGAAGUGUAAUCUUGGGGCUUAACCCUGAGCGUGCUUUCGAUACGGGUUGACUUGAGGAAGGUAGGGGAGAAUGGAAUUCCUGGUGGAGCGGUGGAAUGCGCAGAUAUCAGGAGGAACACCAGUGGCGAAGGCGGUUCUCUGGGCCUUUCCUGACGCUGAGGAGCGAAAGCGUGGGGAGCGAACAGGCUUAGAUACCCUGGUAGUCCACGCUGUAAACGGUGGGUACUAGGUGUGGGGUCCAUUCCACGGGUUCCGUGCCGUAGCUAACGCUUUAAGUACCCCGCCUGGGGAGUACGGCCGCAAGGCUAAAACUCAAAGGAAUUGACGGGGCCCCGCACAAGCGGCGGAGCAUGCGGAUUAAUUCGAUGCAACGCGUAGAACCUUACCUGGGUUUGACAUGGAUCGGGAGCGCUCAGAGAUGGGUGUGCCUCUUUUGGGGUCGGUUCACAGGUGGUGCAUGGCUGUCGUCAGCUCGUGUCGUGAGAUGUUGGGUUAAGUCCCGCAACGAGCGCAACCCUUGUUCACUGUUGCCAGCACGUUAUGGUGGGGACUCAGUGGAGACCGCCGGGGUCAACUCGGAGGAAGGUGGGGAUGACGUCAAGUCAUCAUGCCCCUUAUGUCCAGGGCUUCACGCAUGCUACAAUGGCUGGUACAGAGAGUGGCGAGCCUGUGAGGGUGAGCGAAUCUCGGAAAGCCGGUCUCAGUUCGGAUUGGGGUCUGCAACUCGACCUCAUGAAGUCGGAGUCGCUAGUAAUCGCAGAUCAGCAACGCUGCGGUGAAUACGUUCCCGGG